rnacentral:rRNA from 1 species
UACGGAGGGUGCAAGCGUUAUCCGGAUUCACUGGGUUUAAAGGGUGCGUAGGUGGGUCUGUAAGUCAGUGGUGAAAUCCCCGAGCUUAACUUGGGAACUGCCAUUGAUACUAUAGCUCUUGAAUACUGUGGAGGUCAGCGGAAUAUGUCAUGUAGCGGUGAAAUGCUUAGAUAGGACAUAGAACACCAAUUGCGAAGGCAGCUGGCUACACAAAUAUUGACACUGAGGCACGAAAGCGUGGGGAUCAAACAGG